rnacentral:rRNA from 1 species
UUGCCUCAGUAACGGCGAGUGAAGCGGCAACAGCUCAAAUUUGAAAUCUGGCGCAAGCCCGAGUUGUAAUUUGCAGAGGAUGUUUCGGGUGAAGCCACGGUCCAAGUCCCUUGGAACAGGACGUCAUAGAGGGUGAGAACCCCGUACCUGGCCGUCGGUGCCCCCCGCUGUGAAACUCCUUCGACGAGUCGAGUUGUUUGGGAAUGCAGCUCUAAAUCGGUGGUAAAUUCCAUCUAAAGCUAAAUACCGGCCAGAGACCGAUAGCGCACAAGUAGAGUGAUCGAAAGAUGAAAAGCACUUUGAAAAGAGAGUUAAAAAGUACGUGAAAUUGUUGAAAGGGAAGCGCUUGCGGCCAGACUUGCCCGCGGUUGCUCAGCCCGCCUUUUGGCGGGUGCACUCUUCCGCGGUCAGGCCAGCAUCGGUUUGGGCGGUCGGAUAAAGGCGUCGGGAACGUGGCCUCCCCUCGGGGAGGUGUUAUAGCCCGGCGCGCAAUGCGGCCAGCCCGGACCGAGGUUCGCGCUUUGCUAGGAUGCUGGCGUAAUGGCCGUAAGCGGCCCGUCUUGAAACACGGACCAAGGAGUCUAACAUCUAUGCGAGUGUUUGGGUGUCAAACCCGUGCGCGUAAUGAAAGUGAACGGAGGUGGGAACCGCAAGGUGCACCAUCGACCGAUCCUGAUGUCUUCGGAAGGAUUUGAGUAAGAGCAUAGCUGUUGGGACCCGAAAGAUGGUGAACUAUGCGUGAAUAGGGUGAAGCCAGAGGAAACUCUGGUGGAGGCUCGCAGCGGUUCUGACGUGCAAAUCGAUCGUCAAAUUUGCGUAUAGGGGCGAAAGACUAAUCGAACCAUUUGCAAACAGCAAUACUAGAUGGUCAAAGGGCGGAGAGCCUUAGUCCCCACGGGGGCCACACUGCCAAACUGCGGGGAACGCCCACAGCCGGACGCCACCGCCCCCCCGCCGCGAGGUGGGAGGGGCACCCCGUUUACUCGGGGGCAUGGUAACAGCGCGCCCGGCGGGUCGAUCCGCAGCCGUCCCCCGAUCCGUCGGGGGGUGGUUCACAGACUAGACGGCGGUGGGCGCGGCGAGCGCUUAAGAUAUAGUCGAUCCAGCCCCUCAAGGGCCGAG